ACCCUUCUCAGCAGCACAUAUACUAAAAUUGGAACGAUACAGAGAAGAUUAGCAUGGUCCCUGUACAAGGAGGAUAGUGUUUUUCUGAAACCAAAUUCUUUAUU
ensembl:snRNA U6 U6 spliceosomal RNA